GUGUUACUGAAGGUCCCUGGUCUGUGAGGACGUGCGGGUCCUCAUCUGGAGUCAGACAGAUACAGAAUCUCGACGUGACGUCGACAGCCGACUCUCAACAUCACUACAACACCAUCCUGUAGAUACUCGCUCUACAACAUCAGGAGACACGUCCUCUUCUCACGCAGAAGAAACGCACGGCAGCAUCAACCAGAAUCUCCCCACAAGGUGCGAAGACAUCAGAGUCUCAGCAGGAUGGGGACAGAAAAAAGGUGCAGUAAGUCAAUGGUAGAAACAAGGUAAUACAGGAAGUGGGCUAGGGCUCCUUCAAAAUAAGAGGGCUUUUCUCUUUCUUUGAUGCUAGGAGAAGAAAUUGAUGACGACUCAUAAGGACAUUUGUGGAUUAUUCCUCUCUGUAAAUGCUCAAUUACACAAUGUAUUUUGUAGUAAGCAUGUAAAAUACAUAAACAAAAUGCUUAUAUUAAUGUUUUAACAUGUAUAUAUAGUUUACAUUUCACCUGAAUCUCGUUUAUCCUCAAAGCUCUUCUUUAUACCUUUCAUGAGAAAACAUUUAUGAAUCUACUUUUUACAACCACAAAUGUUUUUAUAUAUCGAUAAUACUUAUUGCUUUCAUCAUCAGUAGAUUUCCUUUUCUUCUGGAUAUAAUUUUACAAUUAAAUGUCUAUAUUUCUAUAUAGAACAUAACUCACCCAAAGAAUAAUACUGAGCCUUUAAUUUGAAAAUGAAUUUCAGUCAGUGGUUUUAGUUUCAGGGAGCUUCACACCGGUGGAAGAUGGAGAUGAAGGAAGCUACUGUAGUGCACACACACACACACACACACACACACACACACACACACACACACACACACACACACACACACGCAGUCUUGGCCCCCCCCCCCCCCUCCUCCUUUUCCGAUCUUGCAGUGGAACAGGCAGAAAAGCUGCUGCAGCGACGUCCCACCGCUCUGCAUCAAAGGAAAGAAGCAGCACCACGAUCCCGACCAAAGACCCAGUUCACAUUCAUCUAGAAGAAGCUCCAUCCAUCAGAUCCCUGCCGUCUCCUUCCUGCAGCGCUGGUUGUCGAUGUGAAACCUCUGGACCUGCAGCAGAGACACCAUGAGGGACUAGGACCAG
ensembl:lncRNA